rnacentral:rRNA from 1 species
GACGAACGCUGGCGGCGUGCUUAACACAUGCAAGUCGAACGGAAAGGCCCUGCUUUUGUGGGGUGCUCGAGUGGCGAACGGGUGAGUAACACGUGAGUAACCUGCCCUUGACUUUGGGAUAACUUCAGGAAACUGGGGCUAAUAUCGGAUAGGAGCUCCUGCUGCAUGGUGGGGGUUGGAAAGUUUCGGCGGUUGGGGAUGGACUCGCGGCUUAUCAGCUUGUUGGUGGGGUAGUGGCUUACCAAGGCUUUGACGGGUAGCCGGCCUGAGAGGGUGACCGGCCACAUUGGGACUGAGAUACGGCCCAGACUCCUACGGGAGGCAGCAGUGGGGAAUAUUGCACAAUGGGCGGAAGCCUGAUGCAGCAACGCCGCGUGCGGGAUGACGGCCUUCGGGGUGUAAACCGCUGUCGCCUGUGACGAAGCGUGAGUGACGGUAAUGGGUAAAGAAGCACCGGCUAACUACGUG